UAGGGAAUUUUUCGCAAUGGACGAAAGUCUGACGGAGCAAUGCCGCGUGAGGGAAGAAGGUUUUCGGAUUGUAAACCUCUGUUGUAAGGGAAGAAAGAGGGUAGUAGGAAAUGGCUACCAAGUGACGGUACCUUACCAGAAAGGGACGGCUAACUACGUGCCAGCAGCCGCGGUAAUACGUAGGUCCCGAGCGUUAUCCGGCAUUAUUGGGCGUAAAGAGCAUGUAGGCGGUUAUAAAAGUGUUUUGUG
rnacentral:rRNA from 1 species